rnacentral:rRNA from 1 species
GGGUAAAGGCUUACCAAGGCAAUGAUGCGUAGCCGAACUGAGAGGUUGAUCGGCCACAUUGGGACUGAGACACGGCCCAAACUCCUACGGGAGGCAGCAGUAGGGAAUCUUCCACAAUGGGCGAAAGCCUGAUGGAGCAACGCCGCGUGGGUGAAGAAGGUCUUCGGAUCGUAAAACCCUGUUGUUAGAGAAGAAAGUGCGUGAGAGUAACUGUUCACGUUUCGACGGUAUCUAACCAGAAAGCCACGGCUAACUACGUGCCAGCAGCCGCGGUAAUACGUAGGUGGCAAGCGUUAUCCGGAUUUAUUGGGCGUAAAGGGAACGCAGGCGGUCUUUUAAGUCUGAUGUGAAAGCCUUCGGCUUAACCGGAGUAGUGCAUUGGAAACUGGGAGACUUGAGUGCAGAAGAGGAGAGUGGAACUCCAUGUGUAGCGGUGAAAUGCGUAGAUAUAUGGAAGAACACCAGUGGCGAAAGCGGCUCUCUGGUCUGUAACUGACGCUGAGGUUCGAAAGCGUGGGUAGCAAACAGGAUUAGAUACCCUGGUAGUCCACGCCGUAAACGAUGAAUGCUAAGUGUUGGAGGGUUUCCGCCCU